rnacentral:rRNA from 1 species
UACGGAGGGUGCGAGCGUUGUCCGGAAUCACUGGGCGUAAAGGGCGCGUAGGCGGCUUCUCAAGCGUGUGGUGAAAGUCCGGGGCUCAACCCCGGAUCGGCCGUGCGGACUGGGGAGCUCGAGUUCUGUAGAGGCGGGUGGAAUUCCGGGUGUAGCGGUGGAAUGCGUAGAGAUCCGGAAGAACACCGGUGGCGAAGGCGCCCGCUGGCAGAGACUGACGCUGAGGCGCGACAGCGUGGGAGCAAACGAGGA